UAUGGCAUAGCGUAUGAAAUCAUGGAGGGCCCCUGUGACUAGCAACACCCUCAUUUCCAGAUGAUUGCCUGUGCACAUCUGGUUUUCACACAUUUGCCAUAUCAAAUGCUCUUGCAUUUGAGUACCAGGAGCUCCAGGCGAACAUUGAUUGAAGGAUUUGGUUCCUUUGGAUCUUUAGCAGCUAGGUGCUGUUGAGGGCCUGAUGCAGUGGGCGAGGGGCUUUUGAAUUCUAGAGGAGGAAUCAAGAACCUUGCUACCAAAAUCACAAUUGCAGAGAAAACAGUUGAGUGGGAUAUUUCUCUGUCAAGCUGCUUUGGGGCUAAUAUCUCCUGGCACCAGGACCCCUGAAGGGCAAAGGCUGCUUCCUGAAGCUGGACCUGAAGACACUGUCCUUUAACUCGUGAACAACUGGCCGUGGGGACUGAAGAUGCUGCCCCCAGCACCCUGAGGACAAUGGUUGUACUUAAUAAUUCUUCAUGUCAAUAAAACAUUAAUUUUUAUUUCUGAGGCU